rnacentral:rRNA from 1 species
AGGACGAACGCUGGCGGCGUGCUUAACACAUGCAAGUCGAGCGGAAAGGCCCUUCGGGGUACUCGAGCGGCGAACGGGUGAGUAACACGUGAGUAAUCUGCCCCUAGCUCUGGGAUAGCUCCGGGAAACCGGGAUUAAUACCAGAUACGACCACUUUAGACAUCUGCUGUGGUGGAAAGAAUUUCGGCUAGGGAUGAGCUCGCGGCCUAUCGAGUCUUGGUUGGUGAGGUAACGGCUCACCGAAGGCGACGACGGGUA